AACGAACGCUGGCGGCAGGCCUAACACAUGCAAGUCGAACGCCCCGCAAGGGGAGUGGCAGACGGGUGAGUAACGCGUGGGAACGUGCCCUUCGGUUCGGAAUAACUCAGGGAAACUUGAGCUAAUACCGGAUACGUGCGGAAGCAGAAAGAUUUAUCGCCGAAGGAUCGGCCCGCGUCUGAUUAGCUAGUUGGUGAGGUAAUGGCUCACCAAGGCGACGAUCAGUAGCNGGUCUGAGAGGAUGAUCAGCCACACUGGGACUGAGACACGGCCCAGACUCCUACGGGAGGCAGCAGUGGGGAAUAUUGGACAAUGGGCGCAAGCCUGAUCCAGCCAUGCCGCGUGAGUGAUGACGG
rnacentral:rRNA from 1 species